AUGGCGCCCCAGGUCGAAGUGGAGCCGGGGGUGGUCGGGGGCCAGGUCGAGGGCCCGCCGCAGCGGUCCCAGGGCCCGGGUGGGGGACAGGGCCCGGGCCGCCGCCCUCAGGACCUCGGGGUCCCGGCUGUGGCGCGCGGCCUCGUCCAGCAGGACGGCGGCCCUCCCGGGCUCCCGCCCGCGCACCAGCUGGGCCAGGGCCACCUUGGCCUCGUAGUUCCCCGGCUGGAGGCCCACCACCCGCUCCAGCUGCUCCCGGGCCUCCCGGCCCGCCUCCUCGGCCCCCUCCCCGGCCCGCGGGUGCUUCCAGGCGGCGAAGAGCGCCAGGGCCAGCCCGGCCCGGUGGUCCUCGACCUCCGGCUGCCCCCGCAGGGCCUCCCGGAAGCAGCCGGCCGCCCCCCCCGAACCGGGAGCCCAGGGUCAGCAGGGCCCGGCCCCUCAGGGCGGCCAGCUCGGGGCCCGGGGCGGUCCAGGGCAGGGGGCUCCCCAGCCCGCGGCAGAUGGCCCAGACCUCGGCCAGGGACUGCUCCAGCUCCUCGGGGCGGGCCAGCUGGUCGGAGAGCCAGGCCCGGUCGCCGCAGACCAGCAGGGCCUGGUGGGGGGUCAGGGCAGGCUGGCGGCCGGCCUCGGACGCGGCGGGAGGGUCCGGGCCCGUGGGGACGGCGGGCCCUGCCCAGCCUCCGACUCCCCGACCCGGACCUCCCACAAGCGCCUGGAGGCCACCAGGUACCGGGGAAAUCGGGGGGCUGGCGAGGGGGGGAGGGGGUCAAGAGAGCGGUGCGGGGACCGAUCCAUCCUCCCCCUCCCCGCCAACUACCCUUCCUCAGAAACCCAGUGGCGUUCAGCCAAGGCAUCUCCCUCCAUCAUCCCCUUCAGUCCGUGACCUUUGACCGACCACGGCCCUCCCCGGGGCUCCUACUCCGCCUGGGCCACCUGUCGCCCCCUUCCACAUCGCCGGGGAGGUCCCCGGCGGCGACCCGAGCCCCUCGGUCCUUCCGUCCGUCCGUCCACCGGUCUGCCCCCGGGGUGGGUCAGGAUCCUGCUGCGGGCCUGGGAGCGGCGGGAGCUGGAAGAGCGGCUGAGGGCAGAGCAGCGCCGGGCCCGGGCUCAGCGGGUGCAGCGCAAGGUCGCCCGCUGCCUGGCGUCCUACACGCCCCCAGGGACCGGUGGGCCCGGCUGGGGCGCCCAGCGGAGGAGAGAGGAGCUCAGGUAGCCCCUCCGGGGGGCGGUGGGCGGGGAGGCCGGGGGGUGCCCAGGCUAGGGUUUAAAUUGGGUGGGGGGCCCGGGAACAGCGGGGGCAGGGAACACAGGGCUUUCUGGUGAGCUUAAAGAAGUGUUUUUAAUGGUAUCUGUGAAGCGCUUACUAUGUGUCAGGCACUGGACUAAGCACGGGUGUAGAUACAAGCCACAUCAGGUCAGACACAGUUCUUGUCCCACAUAGGGCUCACCGUCUUAAUCCUCAUAAUAAUAAUAAUGCUGGUAUUUGUUAAGCACUUACUAUGUGCAGAGUACUGUUCUAAGCGCUGGGGGAGAUACAGGGUAAUCGGGUUGUCCCAUGUGGGGCUCACGGUCUUCAUCCCAAUUUUCCAGAUGAGGAAACUGAGGCCCAGAGUACUGAAGUGACUUGCCCAAAGUCACACAGCCCAAAAGUGGCGGAGCUGGGAUUAUUAUUAUUAUUAUUAUGGUUAUUAGAGUUGGUGCCCCCCCCCCCUUACACCAGGCCAGGGUGGAUGCAGGUAGAGCAGGAAGCCACGGGAGGGUAAGGAGAGGCCGUCGGUUUUCCUAGUCUGGGAGCUGCUUCAUCCUCAGCAACCUUCCAUAUGGAAAUAAUAAUAAUGUUGGUAUUCGUUAAGCGCUUACUAUGUGCGGAGCACUGUUCUAAGCGCUGGGGUAAUUAUAGGGUAAUCAGGUUGCCCCACAUGAGGCUCACAGUCUUAAUCCCCAUUUUGUAGUUGAGAUAACUGAGGCCCAGAGAGGUGGAGUGACUUGACCAAAGUCACACAGCUGACGAGGGGCGGAGCCAGGAUUCGAACCCAUGACCUCUGACUCCCAAGCCCGGGCUCUUUCCACUGAACCACGCUGCUUCUCUAAAGCAGAGAAAUUGGGAAAAUGGAAAUUGGGAGGCUUGUCAAAAAACAACAAGAAAUCCCAACCAGCUAAGUUUCUACUGGUCUGCAUAUUGCUCGGCGCGCAUCUGCGGCUCGAUUUCAAGUGUGCCAGGGUCUAGCUGCAAGUAAUGACGGCGGAUUCCUCUCCGGCCCGGUCUUUUAAGGGUCCCAAUAAAUAAAUAUUAAUAGGUUUUCGGGCCUCGCAGCUUAAGUCAGUCAGUCAGUGGUAUUUAUGGAGCGCUUACUGUGUGCGGAGCACUGUACUAAGCGCUGAAGCAAGAACAAGAGAACAAUAAGCAGACACAUUCCCUGCCCACAGUGAGCUUACGGUCUAGAGGGGAAGACGGGGAGGUCACCGAACCGGUCGCUUCUGUCUCUCGGCCCUUUUACCGAAGCGGAGGUUUCAGGCCGGCGAGGGCCGGGUGGCAUCCACCUGAAAGGUGGAGGAUGACUAUAUUUAUGUACAUAUUUAUAAAUAUAAUUCUAGUUAUUUUUAUUAAUGAUAUGUAUAUAUCUCUAAUUCUAUUUUUAUCGAUGCUACUGAUGCCUGUUUACUUGUUUUGAUGUCUGUCUCCCCGCUUCUAGAGCCCGGUGUGGGCGGGGAUUUGUCUCUAUUUCUUGCCGAAAUGUACUUCCCAAGUGCUUGGUAGAGUGCUCUGCACACAGUAAGCGCUCAAUAAAUACGAUUGAGUGAAUGAUUGAGUGAGGAUGGUGUCUGGCGGGGCUUCACCGUGACACUGAGGGAGAGGAGGACUCUGGAUAGCGGACCCAGUUGGGCCCUCGCUCUCCCCGCCUUCAGAGCCUUACUGAAGGCCCGUCUCCUCCAAGAAGCCUUCCCUAAGCCCCUCUUUUCCUCUUUUCCCACUCCCUUCUGCGUCACCCCGACUCGCUCCCUUCAUUCAUCGAGAAGCAGCGUGGCCCAGUGGAAAGAGCAGGAGCUUGGGAGUCAGAGGUCAUGGGUUCUAAUCCCGGCUCCGCCACUUGUCAGCUGGGUGACUCUGAGCCAGUCGCUUCACUUCUCUGGGCCUCAGUGACCUCAUCUGUCAAAUGGGGACGAAGGCUGUGAGCCCCACAUGGGACAACCCGAUGACCUCGUAUCCACCCCGGUGCUUAGAACAGUGCGUGGCACAUAGUAAGCGCUUAACAAAUGACAUCAUUAUCAUUAUUAUCUCUCUCCCAACCCCACAGCACUUAUGUCCAUAUCUGCCAUUUUUAAAAUUUCUAUUCAUGUCUAUCUUCUCCUCUAGAUUAUAAGCUCAUUGCGGGGAGGGAACGUGUCUGUUCAUUGUUGAUUUGUCCUCUCCCAAGCGCUUAGCGCAGUGCUGAGCACACAGAAAGCGCUCGUUCAGUACGAUCGCCUGACGGACUGAUGGAGCGACUGUGCCGUAGGCUCCAGGAGAAGCAGCGAGCGGCGGAGUACCGGGCGGAGCUGCAGGGGAUGCGGCACAGAGUGCAGGCCCGACCCUUCCUCUUCGAGCAAGCCAUGCAGGUGACGGUUCCUCGCCCGCUCCUGGACGAGAGUCCUCUCCUUCCGUCCGGAAUCCCCAAAUACCAGAGCUGGACCGGCUCCCCGCAUCGCCUGGGGUGGCCUAGUGGAUGGAGCCCGGGUCUGGGAGUCGGAAGGACCUGGGUUCUAAUCCCGGCUCCUCCGCUUGCCUGCUGGGUGACUUUGGGUGGGUCUCUGGACCUCAGUUCCCUCAUCUGUAAAAUGAGGCUUAUGACUGGGAGCCCAGUCUGGGACGGGGACUGUCCAACCCAAUUAGCUUGUAUCCAUGCCAGCGUUUAGUACGGUGCCUGGCACCUAAUAAGAACUUAACAAAUACCGGGCAUUAUUAUUACUAUUAUUAUUACAAAAAUACCAAGCGGACACCGAGAAACCUUCCGGGAGGAAGCCCAGAUCUACUUCCCCCUCAGCCCAGGCUCCCUUCUUUCCUGGCAGUGGGAUAAUAAUAAUGAUGGUAUAGAAGCAGCAUGAUGUUAGUGGAAACAGCCUGGGCCUGGGAGUCAGAGGUCAUGGGUUCAAAUCCCGGCUCUGCCACUUGUCAGCUGUGUGACUAUGAGCAAGUCACUUCACUUCUCUGUGCCUCAGUUACCUCAUCUGUAAAAUGGGGAUUAACUGUGAGCCUCACGUGGGACAACCUGUUGACCCUGUAUCUCCCCCAGCGCUUAGAACAGUGCUCGGCACCUAGUAAGCGCUUAACAAAUACCAACAUUAUUAUUAUGCAGUGGAAACAGCCCGGGCCUGGGAGUCAGAGGGUCAUGGGUUCUAAUCCCGGUUCCGCCACUUGUCAGCUGUGUGACUUUGGGUAAGUCACUUCACUUUCUGGGCCUCAGUUCCCUCAUCUUUAAAAUGGGGGUGGAGACUGUGAUCCCUACUUGGGACAGGGUCUGGGUCCAACCCGAUUUGCUUAUAAUCAUCCCAGUGCUUUGUACGGUGCCUGGCACCUAGUGAGUGCUUAACCAAUACGCUAAUUAUUAUCAUUAUUAUUAAGCACUUACUAUGUGCUAGGCACUGUUGUAAGCGCUGGGGUAGAUAUGAGCUAUUCAGGUUGGACACAGUCCCUGUCCCACAUGGGGCUCACAGUCUUAAUCCCCCUUUUACAGAUGAGGCCCAGAGAAGUGAAAUGACUUACCCCAGAUCACCCAGCGGACAAGUGGCGGAGUUGGGAUUAGAACCCAGGUCCUUUGGACUCCCAGGCUCGGGCUCUAUCCACUAGGCCAUUCAUUCUUUCAAUCGUCUUUAUUGAGUGCUUACUGUGUGCAGAGCACUGUUCUAAGCGCUUGGGAAAUACAAUUCAGCAAAAAGAGAGGCAAUCCCUGCCCACACCGGGGUCACGGUCUAGAAGGGGGGAGACAGGCAUCAAAAUAAGGAAACAGGCAUGAGUAGCAUUUUUAUAAAUAAAUAGAAUCAUAGUUCAUUCAUUCAAUUGUAUUUACUGAGCACUUACAGUGUGCAAAGCACUGUUCUAAGCGCUUGGGAAGUACAAUUCAGCAACAAAGAGAGACCAUCCCUGCCCGCACCGGGCUCACGGUCUAGAAAGGGGGAGCAGGUAUCCAAAGAAGGAGCCAGGCAUCAGUAGCAUCAGUAUAAAUAAAUAGAAUCAUAGUUCAUUCAUUCAAUUGUAUUUAUUGAGCACUUAUUGCAUGCAAAGCACUGUUCUAAGUGCUUGGGAAGUACAAUUCAGCAACAAAGAGAGACCAUCCCUGCCCGCCCCGGGCUCACAGUCUAGGAAGGGGAGACAGGCAUCAAAACAAGGAAACAGACAUCAGUAGCAUCAUUAUAACUGAAUAGAAUCAUAGUUCAUUCGUUCAAUCGUAUUUACUGAGCACUUAUAGUGUGCAGAGCACUGUUCUAAGCGCUUGGGAAGUACAAUUCAGCAACAAAGAGAGACAAUCCCUGCCCACACCGGGCUCACGGUCUAGAAAGGGGGAGACAGGUAUAAUAAUAAUAAUAAUAAUAAUAAUGUUGGUAUUUGUUAAGCGCUUACUACGUGCAGAGCACUGUUCUAAGCGCUGGAGGAGAUACAGGGUAAUCAGGUUGUCCCACGUGGGGCUCACAGUUAAUCCCCAUUUUACAGAUGAGGGAACCGAGGCACAGAGAAGUGAAGUGACUCGCCCACAGUCACACAGCUGACAAGUGGCAGAGCCGGGAGUCGAACCCAUGACCUCUGAUUCCGAAGCCCGGGCUCUUUCCAC
rnacentral:lncRNA from 1 species